rnacentral:misc_RNA from 1 species
GAUGAAGAACGUAGCGAAAUGCGAUAAGUAAUGUGAAUUGCAGAAUUCAGUGAAUCAUCGAAUCUUUGAACGCACAUUGCGCCCGCCAGUAUUCUGGCGGGCAUGCCUGUUCGAGCGUCAUUUCAACCAUCAAGCCCCCGGCUUGUGUUGGGGACCUGUGGCUGCCGCAGGCCCUGAAAACCAGUGGCGGGCUCGCUAGUCACUCCGAGCGUAGUAAUACAUCUCGCUCAGGGCGUGCUGCGGGUUCCGGCCGUUAAAAAGCCUUAUUUACCCAAGGUUGACCUCGGAUCAGGUAGGAAGACCCGCUGAACUUAAGCAUAUCAAUAAGCGGAGGA